UUGAAUUGGUUCUGUGCAACGUCGACCGCAGAUAACUUCAUUCGCGAACAUGUAGAAUGAAAACAAAAGUGUCAAAUAAUAAUUGUCAAAUAUUUAUGUACAUGAGCACGCUCGGGAUUGAGAUAAUAUAAGAUGGCUGAGAAUGGAUUUGCAUCCGACAGUAAUGCCGAAGAGUCUCUUGUUACAGAAGCUAUUAAUUUAGACAUCGAGGAGUUAGAUAAUACAGAAUAUGCUAUACCAAUCGUGGAGGAAUUACCCACCUUAGAAAGUAUAUUGAUGGAACCUGAUUACGAAUCGUUGUCGGAAACGGAUGACGAUAUCGGUGUCCCAGUGGGAGAAAGACUCGGUAGCAGUGAGACAACUAGCAUUGGAAGUCACCUGUCACUGAAUUCGCUGAAUAAAUCCUCAAAAGCCACGCAAAAGACAUCAUCGGGCGUUAUUUUAAGGCAUGUCAUACUAAAAGGAAUAUCAUCACAAAUUGUAUCAGCCAAUGAAAGAGUCAAUGCUGGUUUUGCCAGUGCAGUUGCGGCUGGGGGGAACAUGUUGGUGAUCGGUACUAGCCAUGGUUUGAUACUUGGCUUUGAUUUGUCGCAAACAUUACGAUGGUGCGAUCAGGAAGCAAGACAUCAAGGUUCUGUUUCCGCUCUUUGUUUCAAUUAUGAAGGCAGCAGAGUACUGGCUGGUUUUGUCAGAGGACAAAUUCUGAUGUUAGAUAGCAGUAAUGGAAAGGUUUUAAGAGUUCUCACUGAUGUACAUCCACUCGAUACCGCUGUGUUACACGUUAAGUUUACAGACUCGCCAAAAAUAGCUUUAUGCAGUGAUAGCGGUGGGUCGGUGUUCGAAUUGAACUUCACUAGAGUCAUGGGUGUAAGAGGUUGCGAAAGUAGAUGUCUGUUUAGCGGCUCCAAGGGUGAAGUGUGCACUCUGGAACCCUUAUUGUUGAAUCAUCUGCCGUCGCAUCCACUGAAAAAUUAUACAUUAGUAGCAAUGGCAACAUUAUCGAAGGUAAUUGUGGUUUGCAUAAGACCGCGAAUGCGGGUUGUACUGAGCCACCCGUUAUGCGGUGUUGCGACAGCACCUCCACAACUGUCCUGGCAGUUGGUUGUCAUACAGACAGCGGAUGGGUCCCGCGUAAUCGAUCCUGUAUUGGCGCUCGCGAGAGACAACGUGGUGCACUUUUACCAAGUGUACACCGAGGUAGGCUCGCGUGUAAAGUUGUCUCCUCUUCGGCGGAUGACCCUACCGUACACGAUAAGUAAUUUGAGAUGGUUAAAUCCAAGAUCUCUCAUAGUGCUGGACACGCAAGAGAAGCUGCAUUUGUUAGACGUAAGAGCGCAGGAUAAUCUGGAAACAUUAGAUAUGAGUCGCGUCGGUAUUUCUUACGCCUCUAGUCAUUUUAAAGGACUGUCUACUGGUGGGAAUGUCUCCAAGGCAAUGGCAUUAGCUGGCGAACGAGCGUGCUACAAUACCGUUGUAGUAUUUGGCACACAGCUGUUAUUAUUAGGUACGAAAAGUUUGCAUGCGAUUUGUAUAAGAACAUGGACGGAGAGGAUACAACAUCUGAUAAUGCAGAAGCGUUUCCCCGAAGCUUUAGCGUUGGGGCUCUCGUUUUAUCAAGACAAAGGCAAGGCGGUGAUCGGUCUCCGAGGUUCCAGGCAUCGUCGCAAGCAAAUAGCGCGCGAUAAAGUCUGUCAAGUACUGAUUCAAUACAUGGACGAGUUAAAUCAGUGUUUGAUAGACGAAAAUAUGGACUACGACACGAUAGUACUCACCUGCGUCGAUUACUGCAUUCAAUUGGAGAAUUUGGAUCUGUUGUUUGGAAAAUUAUGGGACAUCGCGUUCGAGUCGGAAGGGUUAAAGACGAGUUACUUGCACGCCCUCGAGGCUCCCUUGCUAGACGGAAGUCUUCAGUCAAGAUUACCACCGUUGAUCGCCCAGCAAUUAGUCACUCUGUACGAUCAAGAAAACAAAGUAGACUCACUGGAAGCGAUCGUAGUUCUGCUUAACGUGGAUUGCUUAGAUAUUCACCAGGUAACUACAAUUUGCCGUAAACGAGGGCUUUGGGAGGCGCUGAUCCAUCUUCAGACAACGGCCCUCGGCGACUUCACCGCGCCGAUUCACCAGCUGGUGCCGGUGCUUCAGAACUUGCUGUACGACGCAACGACCGCUCUCUCCCGAGACAGUAUAAAGCUCGGUAACGCCAUCCUGGUUUACACCAGUUGUUGCCUCGCUGGUCGCGGGUUCCCCAAAGACGAGCUUCCCGAGGAUAUGCCGCAGAAAGCGAAAGCGGACAUACUGAGAGCCUUGCUCUCGCAGCAUUCCAGUUUGGCGAACGACACGGAGAGACAGUAUCCGUAUUUGCGGACACUGCUGCAAUUCGACGCGAAGGGCUUUCUCGACGUGAUAGCCAUCGCCUUUCAGGAGCCCGAAUUUACUUCCGAGAUGGGCCUGCGUCACCGGCAGAGGCUCAUAGAUAUCUUGCUGAGCAUCGUUAUGCCGAGCACGCCGCUCAGCCCGAAAAGUACCGAUUACAUCACGCUCGAGCAACAGUUUAUGGUGCUUAUGUUCGUGGCGAACGAGGUAUCCGAGAGUACCGUCGCAUUGGAGUCCAGUACGUUGAACAGAAUGAUAGAUAUGUUGUGCAUCGAUCUGCACGUGGAAAUGUUGAAGGACUUUAAGAGUGAGAGAGAAAGCGCUGUACUAGGAUUACUGCAUUCUAAGAAACUGUGCAAUAUCUCCGAUAACACUUUGUUGAAUCUAGCGAAUAGAGCGGGUUUUAUAAGAGUCGCGGAGUUACUGUACAGCGCGAGAGAAGACUGGGUAGCGGUGUGUAAAUGUAUGAUUUUAGAAUCAUCCAGGCAUCACGAUAUAUGGCGUUGGCUCGAACAUCUGCCGGCCGCCUCGUUGGACCAGGUCGUGUCGGCUCACACUCCGACGCUCGUGACGAUCAAUGCGAGUCAGUUCGCCGCGAUCGUCGCGACGCGACUGCAGAGCAAGAUCAACGCGAUAUUGCAGAGUCUCGGCAAGAAUUUCGAGUACAACUUGCUGGGAGCGUUUUAUCAAAUCGCACAGUAUAAGGAGGAGGAUGUCUCAUUGGAACUAUCGACCGAACACUUGGAGAGAUACCUGGCGUUGAUGUGCGAAUUGAAGCCGACACGCGUGGUGGCUCAUAUACACGGGCCGCACGGUUGCAGAUUGGACGAAGCGUUGAAGAUCGUUCAAAAGUGGAGCUGCAAGGACGCGGAAGCGGUGAUGUUGGAGAAGCUGGGCAAUUACCAGGACGCGUUUGAUCUUCUGCUGGAAGAAUUCGAGCAUCAUCUGGAGCUCUAUCGGCAGAAUAAGACUUCGGAGAGCGAGACCGUGCACGCUGCCGCGCAGCUCGCGGGGAUAUGCCGGAGAUCGGCGGGAAAUUUGGACUGGAUGCCGCUCGUGGAAGCGGUGUUUCGAUCACAUUCCGAAAACAAUCAGGCGGAUAAGCUGAGUGGGAAGCUGUUGAGAUUAAUUCUAGAAUCGCUGAGCGGCACGUCGGUCCUGUCGAAUAUAUUGGAGCAGAUUUUGAGAAAUCCACUGGCAACGAGCGGGACAAUGGGCGACAUACGACAACUGUUGUCCGGAGUUCUCACUCAGUCGCGAUACGAGCAGACCUUGGUCGAAACCACCGCGCGACUGGUGAGCUUGGAACUGCACAAGGCUCUGGGAAAGUCCCUGAGGGACGCCGGUAGAGCAUGCGGCAACGUUUCCGUCACCUGUCCGAUAUGUAGACAAGCAUUGUCGCAUUGUUCCGAUCACGUGGUGGUGUUUGGCUGCGGUCAUGGAUACCAUUCGACUUGCUUGGGCGAACCCAAGUCGUGUUACAAGUGUUUGAAUACAAAGGGCUGGGCACCUGUCGCUACCGAUAUCGCACACCCCGCUCAGCCUCCGCCGAGAAGGAAACCUCUUCUUCCCCCGGAAUUCUUACGUCACAAAGACCUCACGUUAAGACUGGCGCCGCUCUGUCCCACUCCCGAUCUUGAGGGCAUCUUUUAAUCUCUCUAGUCUUUGAAUAUCGAAAUGUGGACGAAACAACGAGCGCAACACUUGAUGACAUGUUCACGACUGUAUUCGGCCUCAUGAAUAUUCAGUGAGUCUUUCGUCAAGGAACAUUCUUUCUUUAUCCUUGCGAGGAGCAACGAUAACGGAACUCCCGACAGCGUGCGACUAGCCAUUCGAAUCUUGGAACAUUUUCCGCAUACCUGUAUAAUCAACAUCAAUGUUUAACAACCAGUUAACAAGAGCUGGAACAUGAAACAGUGCCUGAAGAGUGCUAUUCAGAUAACAUGUAUUCCCAACAUUGUACAUGCCGGCUCCAACUGGUGAUGUAUUCUUCCAUCCUAGAUGCACUUUUUUGGGAGAAUAUAAGAGGAAGGUAAACCAAGUACGAUGCACUUAGCUUUCAGUUGAUCCAAAAUCGACGUGUGAUAAUCAUUUGCUUCGUUAUAUUGAACUUC